AUUUCAUGUCACUAGCAAUUUAUAUACGUAUACGUACAUAUCGCAGUUGGUCUCGAGCUGUAUUUAUAACGAAUAAAUAUUAUUCUUGCGAAAAAGUAUUUUUCUUUUUUCUUUUUGUUUGUGAAAAGUGGAAAAAACAUUUUAAGAGUAAAAAAACGUUUGAAAAGAAUUUUGCAUCAUAAUUUACAAUUUCAUCAUUUUAUCGUUAUACAUAUUUUACACAUUUCUCUAAUAACUAGUGCGAUAACUAGUUCGCGAUUGGUUCCCAGUCACUAAGAGUUAAAAAUAACCAUAUAUUUUUUAUGCGAAGGAAAAAAAAAAAAAGAUACGAGGUCCACUGGAUUGUUACAUGCCGGAAAAUUCUUGUCUGCCUCUGUUACCAUGGUACUUGUCAGUUACGAACCAUCGACCGAAAUUAUUCACGAUUCUUUUUCAAUGACGUAACUUGAACUUGUCCAAGGUUAAAAUAAAUCAUCGCUGAUUAUCGUGUGGAA